rnacentral:rRNA from 1 species
GACGAACGCUGGCGGCGUGCCUAAUACAUGCCAGUUGAGCGCUGAAGGUUGGUACUUGUACCAACUGGAUGAGCAGCGAACGGGUGAGUAACGCGUGGGGAAUCUGCCUUUGAGCGGGGGACAACAUUUGGAAACGAAUGCUAAUACCGCAUAAAAACUUUAAACACAAGUUUUAAGUUUGAAAGAUGCAAUUGCAUCACUCAAAGAUGAUCCCGCGUUGUAUUAGCUAGUUAGUGAGGUAAAGGCUCACCAAGGCGAUGAUACAUAGCCGACCUGAGAGGGUGAUCGGCCACAUUGGGACUGAGACACGGCCCAAACUCCUACGGGAGGCAGCAGUAGGGAAUCUUCGGCAAUGGACGAAAGUCUGACCGAGCAACGCCGCGUGAGUGAAGAAGGUUUUCGGAUCGUAAAACUCUGUUGGUAGAGAAGAACGUUGGUGAGAGUGGAAAGCUCAUCAAGUGACGGUAACUACCCAGAAAGGGACGGCUAACUACGUG